ACUGACAUGGAUGAUUGCACAUACAGAGAUGAUGCAGGAGGAGGAGUGAAAGCGUCUUCUGUUUAUCAGCAGGUCUGGCAAGAGCUCCAGUCUCCAAUCUGAAUCCAGACAUCUCCUGCUGCUGAAUCACGCCAGUAGGAUUAUGGGAUUCCUCACAAUGAAAGAACAGAUUUAAACAUACCCUUCUAUUCUUCAUCAUCGUGGCAGAGGCCUCCAACCCUACAGGUGGUGAAUUAAAUCUACGGUCUGCUCAAGGAUGGCAGGAAUCCAGACGGACUGAUGGCAGCGCUUGGCCAGGGAAAUGGAAGAUCAGACACAGCCCUCCGCAGCAGUUCUCAGACUCCUGCAGAGAUCCAACAUGGCCUCCUGCACAGCCCAGUUUCAUUAUCGACAGUCCGAUCGCUGGCGAUUGAUCGCACCUCCCCACCCACGGAGCACCAUUUUACCUCGCCCGCUACUCAAUCAGUUCAUAGAGAUAAUAAUUAUGAAGCAUGACAGCUAGGAAUGAGAUUAGCUGUCAGUGUGUGUAUGACUGAGAUUGAUUUUUAUCUGGCUUUUACAGUGUGUGUGUGUGUGUGUGUGUGUGUGUGUGUGUGUGUGUGUGUGUGUGUGUGUGUGUGUGUGUGUCUGCAAGCCAAGGUCAAGGGGUGCUGACACACACGUGCACAAACACACACAGAUAUACUUUCAUAUAAAACACAUUAGAUAUCUACACAGGUUGAAGUUCAACCCUAACAGGUAAACAAGACUGUUUGGUACUGUACAAAUUCACUCUCUUUAUUACCUCUCCACAGAUUCUCCCAGUGCAUGGAUGGAUUCUGACUGAUGAAGACAGUGGAUUUCCUUUACACACUACAAUGGACACAUCAACACCACUAUACUUCAUUGUAACCCAUAGAAGCUCUCCACUCACACACUCUCCAUCAACACUGCGUCGGAGUCGCCAGAAACAGCAAGGACCGCUGAUGCUGCACGCCGUCUGUCCAGUCAUUUACAGAAGGAGUGAUAGUGCACUUGUUUUAAUCAUUCUGCUGGGAAACAAAGGCAUUUGCAAGUUACAAUUGACCAUAUCCAUGGAAGAGCACGAUGCUACAUUCGCCAAAAUUUGCAAGGUUUGGGAAAAAUUGAAGAAUUGACUCCCCUUCAGUUUGUCAGUGUGAAACUGAAUUAAAUUGGCUACACUUCCAAGACAUCCAACAGAGCGGGCCACGGGUUUUAUUGCAUCCACUGAAAAUGGAUAUUUAACAAAUCGUUGAACACAUUUUUAUGUGGCCGUAGGCUGUGGCAAAGAAGAGCAGCGAAAUUCAUAAGGCUCACUGCUACACGUGGGUGGGAAAUAUAUUUUAUGAAAAAAAAAAAAAAAUCACAGACUGCACUUUCUUCUUUGCAGGGGUUUUAGGAUAGCGAGAGGACAGGAAAUGAUUGGAGGAAGAGAAGGAAAUGGGAACUCAAACUCCAGCAGAUUUGCUGAUGGUUGUUCACCAGAUACACCACUGUCAAACCAGAACAAACAAGCAUGAAAUUAAGGCUUUUCUAAGCCAGGGCUAAUAUAAGAGGCUUUUGCACCGGUAGUUAUAGGAACUCAAUUAUAAGAACUAGUCACCAGGAGGGUUCUCCAAGAACGAAAUUUUCCCCUAGGGCCAUUUUCCUGGUUGCAAAAGGCUUUUGCACCGUGCAGUUCUAGGAACUUGGUUCUGAGUUCAGUUCCCAGAGAACCAGUUUUCUCCUCAGUCCAUUUUCCUGGUUGCACUCACGCCUGCAGCAGGAACUCUGAAGCAGCCUACAGCGACUUUAUGCUAAAAUUUACAAAGGUCAGCAACCAGUGAAUGGGGGACACCGUGAUCGGAGCAGUUUUUGUUGUGUGUCGUGGAUUUCAUGAUAAUGGAGAAGGAAUGUAAACACACAAUUUACGCACCUGAAAGAGCAUGAAAAUCUGACUAAAUCUCUUAUGAUAAUUUGCAAUGUUACAUAUCAUCAAGGCUGAGAAAAGAACACAGUUCUUGGCUAAAUGCCAUUGUUGCUGGUUUACAUGUUUGUGGAGUAAAUAUUUUUACUGAUCCAUAUGACGCCACUGAAUCAAUCAUGAACUGACUUUAACUAACAAAAUUUGAGUGUUUACUAUUGUCCUUUUGCAUUAUCGACACACUGUUUUCCUAUUUAACACUGUAAAGCUGCUUUGAAACAAUCUGUAUUGUUAAAGGGCUAUAUAAAUAAAG
ensembl:lncRNA